rnacentral:ncRNA from 1 species
AGUUUUAAUUGAGUUCCAUAACUUAGGUUCAUAUAACGCUGAACCAACCCCUUUCCAAAGGAACGUUCUCCCAAAAUUACUGCCCUAUCAUAAUCUUGCAGUGCACCAGCAACUAUUUCAGAGGCCGAAGCUGAUCUUUCGUUGAGUAAAACAGUGAGGGGAAUCUCUAAAUCUAAAGGAGUAUUGGAUGCAUUGUAAGUAUUGCUCCACUUUCUUACUUUAGCUUUAGUUGCUGUAAUUUUACUUCCUUUUGGUAAGAAAAAAUUUGAGAUAUUAAUAGCCUCUCCUAGAGAACCUCCUGGAUUACC